rnacentral:rRNA from 1 species
UUGACCUCGGAUCAGGUAGGACUACCCGCUGAACUUAAGCAUAUCAAUAAGCGGAGGAAAAGAAACCAACAGGGAUUGCCUCAGUAACGGCGAGUGAAGCGGCAACAGCUCAAAUUUGAAAUCUGGCCUUUUGGCCCGAGUUGUAAUUUGGAGAGGAUGCUUUUGGUGCGGUGCCUUCCGAGUUCCUUGGAACAGGACGCCAGAGAGGGUGAGAGCCCCGUACGGUUGGACACAAGCCUUUGAAUAGCUCCUUCGACGAGUC